rnacentral:misc_RNA from 1 species
UAUGCUAGUGGCUACAUCUCACAUGCCUUUGCCCUGACAAAUUGUUAUCUGGGAGAGCCAGCCUCACUCUACAAUAAAUUUAGUCAUGGAUCGAAGACUGGACCGAUUGCAAGAAAUUUGCAUAAGAAUUCAUAAUACCCAUUUGACAUAUUUAGAAACCAACGAUAGUCCAUCAAAAAUCAAAGAACGCUACAAAUUAGAAGGUUUUAUCAACGAAUAUGUUGGUCUCGUCCCAAACGAAAAAAAAUAUGUAUUCCAAGAAACGUCUGAUAUUCUACUACGAUCUGCAGAAACAUUAGAAGGAUUUAGUGUUUAUCGUGCAAGUGAAGCAUGGUCGGCAAUUUCUAUAUACGCCUCGAAUCUCCUGGCUCAACCAUGGCGAAAAGAAUAUCGUUCUGUUCAAACUUAUAGUGGUUACUAUAAGCACGAAAUCGAAGCUAACUUGUUUCAAGCUGAACUUAUGUUCUAUUUAAUGGGAUACAAGAAAUCUGAACAUUCAGUUUUAACACUUGAUGGUCCUAUUGAUCCCGACAAAGUUUCAAAUGUUUCGAGAGAUGCAAUCGUUGCGUUUGUUGAAUGUCAAAUUCUUAAGAAAAUUUUUGAGACUGUUUCUAAAUCGUUCUCUAUAUCAUGGUUCGAUAUCAUAGAACAUCGAAGAAAAUUCGUUGGAACUGCAGAGCAAGCUAUUCGGAGUAUCCAUCAACUGCUGCAACGAGAUAAUCAAAACAAAAUGAAAUCAGAAAAUUAUCCACAGUAUUAUCAGAAACGAUUCAAUUCAACUACAUCAGACGAUACUUUCGAAGACAAUUUUAACGACUCAAGUGAUAAAAAAAUAUACGACGUUGUAGCUACUACCGAAUUUACACCAAAUUGUGCGUUCGCUUCUCGUUCUGUUUCUUGUGAAAUAAUAAAAACCGAUCGGCUAGUGAUAUCUGGUUCUCAGAACCAGUUAACAAAAAAUUUAACAAGUAAGAUAAUGCCUCAGUCUAAUAAAAGACAUGAAAAAUGUGACAACAGUUGUGAUUCAAGUCGUAAGAUUGGUCAAACUGACAUAAAUCUCAUUGACUAUUCCAUGAAAUACCUCUGUGAGAGGGACAUGUCUUUCGUUAGAACUUCCGUCCAUCAAAAUUCCAUCUCAAGUGAAUCUAACACUUUACAUCGGACAUCUGAAAAUACAAAACAUCCAAAUGAUCGAGAGUUGAUUUUCCAAGAAAAAAAAAAAGCUAGAAGGAAAAAUGACGAUUCGGCUAUUAGCGUCGAGCGGCUUCAUCGCCACUGGUUCGAUCCUCAAAUAACAUUCUUGAAUACCGUUGAGAAAAAAAUGUCGAGUAACCCAGAAUUACAAAAAAAUUUGAAGUCAUCAUUAAACUUAAUCGAUCUUAAUAAAAUAUCUCAGAAAGUUGAAAUAGACGAAUCACAUCGAUUGAAAAGCGCUACACAACUAUAUGAAAAGGCUGACAAAUUUUCUAUUGAGUCUAAUAAUGAGCACCAAAAUAUCGGAUAUCAUGAAUGGAAUUGUCUAUUUUGUACAUUUAUCAAUACAACUCAAGCCGAAAUUUGUCAAAUGUGUGGAAAAUCUAGACGAAGCGUACCAAACGAAAAACCUCUAGAAAGUGGGAGUAAACAGUGCCCAAACUUUGAUGUGUAUAUCAUAUUCAGUUCAGAGAGACUUGGUUAUUGUAAAAAAGAAAAGUGAGGUUAAACCCAGAGUUGACAGUCGACAUUUUUGUUGUUGAUAUGUCAUAUAUAUACCAAUUUUAACAAUGGAUCAUCCUGAAUUUGAAGUUUAGAAACAUUUUGAUGUUGUUGCAAAUCCUGAAUGCAAAUACACGACAGGAAGUUGUAAAUAUUGUGGAAAAAAAUAUGUUUCAAAUGUUGGUAGAAUGAUGAAGCAUCUUGCUCAAGAAUGUCAAAAUUGUGAUGAUGAAAUUAAAAAAAAUUUUAUGAAAAUGAUUGUGCCAAAUAAUAAACCUGAUGUCAGAUCUCAUCUGAGCAAGUUGUAGCACUAAUUGCAAAGAACAAAACAACUCAAAACAAAGGCUCAAUUGACAAGUUUAUUGAUACUAAAAUGUCCAAAGAAAAUCAUGAUAAAUUGACUGCUUCUUUUGCAAAUAUUCAUACAAAAAACAGAAACUCAUUAUUAAAUGAUCGUACUCAAAAACUCGUUCGUAUCAAACACAAUUUACGACUCGUUGAACCUGCUCGAUUAACAAUAUCACCAGUAAGAAAAAAAUCAUUAGUAACAAAAAAUGAUACGAGUUUUGAAGAAUUUGUUGGAGAAAUAUCUGAUUGGGAAGAUGAAGGUUGGGACGAUUGUUCUCUUCAUGAUGAUAAAAGUAAAAACAAAAUUUAAUUGUUGACCAAAAAAAUUGAUAAGUUUUUUAAAGUGAAGAGCUUGAAUUAUCAUUAUUGUUCUUAAAAAAGGGUUACAAGUUUAAACUUUUAAAGUUCAAAGAACACCAAAAAUUAAUCAUAUAAAAUUUAAAAACAUAUCGAGUUUUUAGUUGAGUUUGUCAUUUUUUUUUCUUUGAGAAUAUUGCUUCUUUUUUUGUCCUUUGUUUUUCAUUUCUACUUUGAUCUUUUUAUAUUUGUUUUUAAGGAUACUGGUAGAAACAUUUCUCCGUCUUUUCUCCAACUUCUUUCCAACUUUUCUCCGUCAUUUCUCCACCUUUUUACGAAAAUGACCCAUGGUUGGAGAAAUGGCGGACAAAUUUCUCCAACCUUUCUUCAACCAAAAAUUUACUCCAACUUUUUUCCGACUUUUCUCCAACUUUUUUCUGCUAUUUCUCCAACCUGAAAUGUACUCCAUAUUUUUUCCAACCAUUCUUCAACCAAAAAUUUACUCCAACUUUUUUCCAACUUUUCUCCAACCAUGGGUCAUUUCCGGAAAAAGGAGGACAAAGUUGGAAAAAAGGCGGAGAAAGUUGGAAAAAGUUGGAGAAAUAUUUCUGCCAGGGCUUUUUUCAUCUUGCUAUAUAGCAAUAUAUAGCUAAUUUGUACCCGUUUUUUUAUCAUUUUUAUUAAGGUUCAAACUAACGCUUUGCUUAGUACAAAUCAACCCAUGUCAAAACAAAGACAAAAAAACAAAAUUAUUGGAUAUUUAUAGAAAAUAUCAAGAGGCACGGUAGUGCCUCGCGUCAAGUUUGAGAAAAAAAAAAAAGUGGGAUAAACGAGAUUAACUACCGUGCCUAUAUAUUAUCGGCAUAGAGCUAACCCUAACCCUCUAAUUCCUUGGGAAUUUAUUUUAAAAUAUGAUUGAUCAGAUAAAAAUGAUAUGACUUCUAAUCAUUUCAUUGAAUCAAUAUCACACUUUUUUAUAAAAAAAAAAAAAAAUUUUUUUAGAUGUAUACUUUUUUUUUAAACUUUAAAAUCAAUUUCAGAAAUUGCUUUUUUCUUGAUAUUUCU